rnacentral:rRNA from 1 species
AACGAACGCUGGCGGCAUGCCUAACACAUGCAAGUCGAACGAGACCUUCGGGUCUAGUGGCGCACGGGUGCGUAACGCGUGGGAACCUGCCCUUAGGUUCGGAAUAACUCCCCGAAAGGGGUGCUAAUACCGGAUAAUGUCUUCGGACCAAAGAUCUAUCGCUUUUGGAUGGGCCCGCGUUGGAUUCGCUAGUUGGUAGGGUAAAAGCCUACCAAGGCGACGAUCCAUAGCUGGUCUGAGAGGAUGAUCAGCCACACUGGGACUGAGACACGGCCCAGACUCCUACGGGAGGCAGCAGUGGGGAAUAUUGGACGAGGGGCGAAAGCCUGAUCCAGCAAUGCCGCGUAAGUGAUGAAGGCCUUAGGAUUGUAAAGCUCUUUUACCCGGGAUGAUAAUGACAGUACCGGGAGAAUAAGCUCCGGCUAACUCCGUG